rnacentral:rRNA from 1 species
UACGUAGGCAGCGAGCGUUGUUCGGAGUUACUGGGCGUAAAGAGUGCGUAGGCGGUUUUCUAAGUUUGGUGUGAAAUCUCCCGGCUUAACUGGGAGGGUGCGCCGAAGACUGGAAGGCUUGAGUAUGGGAGAGGUAAGCGGAAUUCCUGGUGUAGCGGUGAAAUGCGUAGAUAUCAGGAGGAAUACCGGUGGCGAAGGCGGCAUCCUGGACCGGCAUUGACGCUGAGGAGCGAAGGCCAGGGGAGCAAACGGG